ACGAUAAUCCAAAUUCAGAGGAAGGAGUAAUGCUCCUUCUCAUUUUGAAAAGACAGAACCGAGCAGAACCAAACAAACGAGAGCAACGGUUUUAGCUUCGGCGAAAGCUUUGGUCGGGGUUGGGGGUCCCGAGCCACUGCUCCAACGGAUUCCCUCUCUUCUGUCUUUCUUCAUUUCCUCGGGUCCCUCUCUCUCUCUCUCUCUCUCACACACACACACACGCACACGCUUCUGUUUUCCAAUUUCAACUUUUUAUUGGUAAUUGUUAAAUUUUGACAACUGUUAUUUGAUCUGGGGUUGCCAAGUUUCGACUGAAUUUUAAUGGGUUUGUGCUGUUUUUAGUUUUUUUUUUUCUUUUGUUCAUGCCUUCUGGGUAUUUUUUUUGUCACUUUAGAGUUUAUUAAUGGUCGUUUAUGUUUUUAUUGAUCAUUCUGAUUGAAAUUUGUUGUUAGGAAUCUAAUCCGUUCAUUUUUUUUUGUUUAAUUAUUUUGUGGGGAUUUGCUAGAAUCUGUUUUCAGUCUUUUAUGAAAUUUAAAGCUGGGGGAGCUCAAAACUUUAAUUAUAUUAACUUUUUGAUCUAAUUCAGAAGUAAUUACUUGGUGUAUACAUAGUUUUUUUUUUGUUUACCUUAAUUAGCGAUUUAGCUAUUUCGCAAUAGAAGUCUCAUUUUCUUUGUUUUUGAAGAUAAACUGAUUUGGGAAGGGGAGAAGUGUUCUUGGCUAAGUCAAUUUUUCGCUUUUUCUGUCUUUUACUUGUCAAAUUCAUGGUAUUCUGUGCCUAACAGCUGUAGUAAAUGUCUUUAUCGAAUAUUUAUCAACCAAGUUAAGAUCCUUCUGGGAUUUUGACCUGAAGUGAGGUUUCGGUGAAUGGCGGUGUAAACAAGAUCAAAUUUGGUAUUGGUGUUUAGUAAUCUUAUUUUGUCAAAGUGAUCAUCCCUAUCUCCCAAACCAGAUCUUUCUGAAAGAGAUUUUUUAGGGUAAACAUAUUCUACUGAUUUUUGUGGGUUUGUAGCGGGAUUAGAACAUUGUUAUGGCUGUUGCCAAGAGCAACAGCGGCAGUGGACAUUCAACUUCAUAUAAUUGUUACAAAGUAGCAAGCUUAACCGAAACCAUAUUAGACACGAAUCAAAUCUGUAAUUUGAAAGAUCAAUACGUUCUUGGAGAGCAGUUGGGUUGGGGACAAUUUGGUGUCAUAAGAGCAUGCUCUGACAAGCUGACUGGAGAGGCUUUGGCCUGCAAAUCUAUUGCUAAAGAUAGGUUAGUUACUUCUGAUGAUUGGCAGAGUGUUAAACUCGAGAUUGAGAUAAUGACUAGGUUAUCUGGGCACCCAAAUGUUGUAGAUCUCAAGGCAGUUUAUGAAGAAGAGGAUUUUGUUCAUCUAGUGAUGGAGCUUUGUGCUGGAGGAGAGUUGUUUCAUCUGUUAGAAAAGCACGGAUGGUUUUCUGAAUUUGAAGCCAGGGUCUUUUUAGGCAUCUCAUGCAGAUGGUUUUGUAUUGUCAUGAAAACGAGGUUGUUCAUAGAGAUUUGAAGCCUGAGAACAUUCUCUUGGCAACUAGAUCUUCCUCAUCUCCAAUUAAAUUGGCAGACUUUGGGCUUGCAACCUACAUAAAGCCCGGACAGAGUUUGCAUGGGUUAGUUGGGAGUCCAUUCUAUAUAGCUCCAGAGGGACUGGCAGGUGCAUAUAACCAGGCUGCUGAUGUUUGGAGUGCAGGGGUUAUUCUUUACAUUCUACUGAGUGGGAUGCCUCCAUUUUGGGGAAAGACAAAGUCAGGAAUAUUUGAAGUUGCUAAGACUGCUAACCUGAGGUUCCCACCUGAGCCUUGGAUUGCAUUUCCGAAUCAGCUAAGGAUUUGAUUAUGUGAAUGCUCUGCAGAGAAUCUUCUCAAAGGCUCACUUCCAAGGAGGUUUUGGAUCAUCACUGGAUGGAAAGCAACCAAACAAAUCCUGAACAACUAAGUGAACACAAAAUUAGAGGUUGUGGAGAGUUGGAUGUUGGUAGCAAUUCAUUCUCUACCUCGUUUAUGUCCAGGAAUAAGGACAUCAGCUUUGGCGCUGAAUCUCCUACAUGUGGCCCUCAAUUGCCUAUGUUCACAUGCAAAUCAUCAUUUUCUUCCUUUUUUGAGGAACCAGUGAAACCUUGUUCUGUUUCGGGUGGAUUUUCAUUUCAAAGCUCAGGUGGUUCCACCGAUUUGGAAUUUUCUUCUACUAUUCCCUCAAUGCCUAGCUUUGCAUUUCUCAGCUCCAGUUCUGUUGUUGAGCAAAGGGUUUGUAUUUCAGAAUGCCUAACUAACACGUCAAAUGUAAAUGCAAUUGCUGGAGAUUCUCCCCUUUGCUUUGGACAUGAUGUUAAAGAGUUGGAUUGCAAGCCUGUAGAGGGUAAAAGGGCAGGUGGAACAAUUGGUCUUGGGGCAUUUGGGUUCCACAACAAGAGAAACCAGACAAUUGGACUUGGUGAGUGUGAGCAACUUGAUCUUGUGGUGACUGAAUCUGUCAUUCGUUGGUCAUCAUGCACCCAACUUCCUACAUCACCAAGAUCAUCUCUCGUCUGUUGAAAGGGUAAACUUCUGGAGAGAUUAAUUGAAUAGCCUGAUGUUGCGAUUAAAUUUGGUUUACCGAUGCAAAUUCACCUAACACAUUGUAUGUGUUUCCCAAAUUCACAUUGUUGUUGAUGUUGUCUGGUUGGUGCAAGUUUGUGGUUCAGGACUCGUCAGUUUAAUCACGUGGUGGCUUCUAAUUGCUCACUAUUAAUGUGUUCCUUUCUUCUUUAUUCAGCUUCCCAUGUUAAUUACCAUGCAUGAAUGCGAGUAAUAGGAAUUCUGCCUGGUGUGUAAAGUUUGUAUCUUGAUGGUACUCCAAAAUGUUUGGAAAUGAAUUGUUAAUUAUUGUGUCGAAUUAUUAUACUUUUGAUUCAAUUUUGAGGUGAGGAACAAACAGUUUAACUUGAAAUGAGAGGUCCACUGUACAGUCCAUUGAAGCAUAUAUGUAUAUGUAUAUGUAGUAAAGAGCACCAUGCCUAUCCACUGGGCAAAUCAAGCCAUUCUCAAAGCAAAAUGCCCGUUGCUCAUUUCUAUGCCUUGCAUCUGCUCACAUAACCAUGUGGUAGUAGAAUGAGUGAUAGCUUUCACAAAAUGAGGUGAGACUAGCUAUAAUUAUGUAAAUGUGAAGUGAUGUGCCUAUAAUUGUCUAUUUGUGUACAAAA